rnacentral:ncRNA from 1 species
AAAGAGGAGGAAGGAAUGGGCAACGGUAGGUCAGCAUGCCCCGAAUUAUCCGGGCUACACGCGGGCUACAAUGGGCAGGACAAUGGGUAUCGACACCGAAAGGUGAAGGCAAUCUCUUAAACCUGUCCGUAGUUCGGAUUGUGGGCUGUAACUCGCCCACAUGAAGCUGGAAUCUGUAGUAAUCGCGUUUCAACAUAACGCGGUGAAUGUGUCCCUGCUCCUUGCACACACCGCCCGUCAAACCACCCGAGUGGGGUUUGGAUGAGGCUGCGGUUGUUGCCGUAGUCGAAUCUAGGUUCCGCAAGGGGGGUUAAGUCGUAACAAGGUAGCCGUAGGGGAAUCUGCGGCUGGAUCACCUCCU